rnacentral:snRNA from 1 species
AUGCUCGCUUCGGCAGCACAUAUACUAAAAAUUGGGACAAUAUAGAGAAGAUUAGUGUGGCCCCCUGUGCAAGGAUGACAUGAUAAAAAUAAUUAAAAACAUAA